UGGGGAAUUUUGCACAAUGGGGGAAACCCUGAUGCAGCGACGCCGCGUGAUUUAGAAGGCCUUCGGGUUGUAAAAAUCUUUUCUAUGGGAAGAAAAUGACAGUACCAUAGGAAUAAGGACCGGCUAAUUACGUGCCAGCAGCCGCGGUAAUACGUAAGGUCCGAGCGUUGUCCGGAAUCAUUGGGCGUAAAGGGUACGUAGGCGGGUAAGCAAGUUAGAAGUGAAAUCCUGUAGCUCAACUACAGUAAGCUUUUAAAACUGCUCAUCUUGAGAUAUGGAAGGGAAAGUGGAAUUCCUAGUGUAGCGGUGAAAUGCGCAGAUAUUAGGAGGAAUACCGGUGGCGAAUGCGACUUUCUGGCCAUAAUCUGACGCUGAGGUACGAAAGCGUGGGGAGCAAACAGG
rnacentral:rRNA from 1 species